rfam:Apaloderma vittatum contig15108, whole genome shotgun sequence.
GGACAGGUUAGCUCAGUCAGUUAGAGCGUGGUGCUGAUAACACGAAGGUCGCGGGUUCGAUUCCCGUUUGGUCCC